rnacentral:rRNA from 1 species
CCGCGAGGUGGAGCUAAUCCCAGAAAACCGAUCGUAGUCCGGAUCGCAGUCUGCAACUCGACUGCGUGAAGUCGGAAUCGCUAGUAAUCGCGGAUCAGCUUGCCGCGGUGAAUACGUUCCCGGGUCUUGUACACACCGCCCGUCACACCAUGGGAGUCUAUUGCACCAGAAGUAGGUAGCCUAACGAAAGAGGGCGCUUACCACGGUGUGGUCGAUGACUGGGGUGAAGUCGGAACAAGGUAGCCGUACCGGAGGGUGCGGCUGGA